rnacentral:snRNA from 1 species
UUACUUACCUGGCAGGUGCUUCACCCAGAGCCAGACUCAAUGACGAUCCCUGCAAUUUCCCCAAAUGCAGAAAUAUCGACUGCAUAAUUUCUGCUGUUGGGGCACUGUGUUCGCAAACUCCCCUG